rnacentral:rRNA from 1 species
AUUUUGCCCCCCUCCCCCUCCAUUUAUGUUGUGUGCAUGGAAUAAUGGAAUAGGACCUCGGUUCUAUUUUGUUGGUUUUCGGAAUCUGAGGUAAUGAUCAAUGGGGACAGGCGGGGGCAUUCGUAUUGCGACGUUAGAGGUGAAAUUCUUGGAUCGUCGCAAGACGGACCGAAGCGAAAGCAUUUGCCAAGUAUGUUCUCGUCGAUCAAGAACGAAAGUUAGAGGUUCGAAGGCGAUCAGAUACCGCCCUAGUUCUAACCAUAAACUAUGCCUGCCAGCGAUCCGCCGAAGUUCCUCCGAUGACUCGGCGGGCAGCUUCCGGGAAACCAGAGCUUUUGGGUUCCGGGGGAAGUAUGGUUGCAAAGCUGAAACUUAAAGGAAUUGACGGAAGGGCACCACCAGGAGUGGAGCCUGCGGCUUAAUUUGACUCAACACGGGAAAACUCACCAGGCCCGGACACCGGAAGGAUUGACAGAUUGAGAGCUCUUUCUUGAUUCGGUGGGUGGUGGUGCAUGGCCGUUCUUAGUUGGUGGAGCGAUUUGUCUGGUUAAUUCCGAUAACGAACGAGACUCUAGCCUACUAACUAGGCGUACCCGGUAUCCACAAUCGUGCUACCGGCGAUCAAAUUUCUUCUUAGAGGGACAGGCGGCUUCUAGCCGCACGAGACUGAGCAAUAACAGGUCUGUGAUGCCCUUAGAUGUCCUGGGCCGCACGCGCGCUACACUGAAGGAAUCAGCGUGUCUUCCCUGUCCGAAAGGACCGGGUAAUCCGCUGAACCUCCUUUGUGCUAGGGAUUGGGGCUUGCAAUUGUUCCCCAUGAACGAGGAAUCCCAGUAAGCGCGAGUCAUUGG